rnacentral:rRNA from 1 species
AGAGUUUGAUCAUGGCUCAGAUUGAACGCUGGCGGCAUGCCUUACACAUGCAAGUCGAACGGUAACGGGCCUUCGGGUGCCGACGAGUGGCGAACGGGUGAGUAAUGCAUCGGAACGUACCUUCAGUGGGGGAUAACGUAGCGAAAGUUACGCUAAUACCGCAUAUUCUGUGAGCAGGAAAGCAGGGGAUCGCAAGACCUUGCGCUGAUUGAGCGGCCGAUGUAAGAUUAGCUAGUUGGUGAGGUAAUGGCUCACCAAGGCGACGAUCUUUAACUGGUUUGAGAGGAUGAUCAGUCACACUGGAACUGAGACACGGUCCAGACUCCUACGGGAGGCAGCAGUGAGGAAUUUCCACAAUGGGCGAAAGCCUGAUGGAGCAACGCCGCGUGCAGGAUGAAGGCUUUAGGGUUGUAAACUGCUUUUAUAUGUGACGAAUAUGACGGUAGCAUAUGAAUAAGGAUCGGCUAACUCCGUG